rnacentral:rRNA from 1 species
AGUGAACGCUGGCGGUAGGCCUAACACAUGCAAGUCGAACGGCAGCAUAGUAAGAGCUUGCUCUUACGGGUGGCGAGUGGCGGACGGGUGAGGUAUACAUCGGAAUCUACUUUUUCGUGGGGGAUAACGCAGGGAAACUUACGCUAAUACCGCAUACGACCUACGGGUGAAAGCAGGGGAUCUUCGGACCUUGUGCGAUUGAAUGAGCCGAUGUAGGAUCAGCUAGUUGGCGGGGUAAAGGCCCACCAAGGCGACGAUCCGUAGCUGGUCUGAGAGGAUGAUCAGCCACACUGGAACUGAGACACGGACCAGACUCCUAAGGGAGGCAGCAGUGGGGAAUAUUGGACAAUGAGCGCAAGCCUAAUCCAGCCAUGCCGCGUAGGUGAAGAAGGCCUGCGAGUUGUAAAGCCCUUUUGUUGGGAAAGAAAAGCAGCAGGUUAAUACCCCGCUGUUCUGCCGGUACCCAAAGAAAAAGCACCGGCUAACUUCGU